rnacentral:rRNA from 1 species
ACCCGCUGAACUUAAGCAUAUCAAUAAGCGGAGGAAAAGAAACCAACAGGGAUUGCCCUAGUAACGGCGAGUGAAGCGGCAACAGCUCAAAUUUGAAAUCUGGCUCUUUCAGAGUCCGAGUUGUAAUUUGCAGAGGGCGCUUUGGCUUUGGCAGCGGUCCAAGUUCCUUGGAACAGGACGUCACAGAGGGUGAGAAUCCCGUACGUGGUCGCUAGCUAUUGCCGUGUAAAGCCCCUUCGACGAGUCGAGUUGUUUGGGAAUGCAGCUCUAAAUGGGAGGUAAAUUUCUUCUAAAGCUAAAUAUUGGCCAGAGACCGAUAGCGCACAAGUAGAGUGAUCGAAAGAUGAAAAGCACUUUGGAAAGAGAGUCAAACAGCACGUGAAAUUGUUGAAAGGGAAGCGCUUGCAGCCAGACUUGCUUGCAGUUGCUCAUCCGGGCUUUUGCCCGGUGCACUCUUCUGUAGGCAGGCCAGCAUCAGUUUGGGCGGUGGGAUAAAGGUCUCUGUCACGUACCUCUCUUCGGGGAGGCCUUAUAGGGGAGACGACAUACCACCAGCCUAGACUGAGGUCCGCGCAUCUGCUAGGAUGCUGGCGUAAUGGCUGUAAGCGGCCCGUCUUGAAACACGGACCAAGGAGUCUAACAUCUAUGCGAGUGUUUGGGUGUCAAGCCCGAGCGCGUAAUGAAAGUGAACGGAGGUGGGAACCCGCAAGGGUGCACCAUCGACCGAUCCUGAAGUUUACGGAAGGAUUUGAGUAAGAGCAUGGCUGUUGGGACCCGAAAGAUGGUGAACUAUGCUUGAAUAGGGUGAAGCCAGAGGAAACUCUGGUGGAGGCUCGCAGCGGUUCUGACGUGCAAAUCGAUCGUCAAAUUUGGGCAUAGGGGCGAAAGACUAAUCGAACUAUCUAGUAGCUGGUUCCUGCCGAAGUUUCCCUCAGGA